CAGCAUCCGCGGUAAUACGUAGGUGGCAAGCGUUGUCCGGAAUUAUUGGGCGUAAAGGGCUCGCAGGCGGUUUCUUAAGUCUGAUGUGAAAGCCCCCGGCUCAACCGGGGAGGGUCAUCGGAAACUGGGAAACUUGAGUGCAGAAGAGGAGAGUGGAAUUCCACGUGUAGCGGUGAAAUGCGUAGAGAUGUGGAGGAACACCAGUGGCGAAGGCGACUCUCUGGUCUGUAACUGACGCUGAGGAGCGAAAGCGUGGGGAGCGAACAGGAUUAGAUACCCCGGUAGUCCCUGUCUCUUAUAA
rnacentral:rRNA from 1 species